UACGUAGGGUGCAAGCGUUAUCCGGAAUUAUUGGGCGUAAAGAGCUCGUAGGCGGUUUGUCGCGUCUGCUGUGAAAACUGGGGGCUCAACCCCCAGCCUGCAGUGGGUACGGGCAGACUAGAGUGCGGUAGGGGAGAUUGGAAUUCCUGGUGUAGCGGUGGAAUGCGCAGAUAUCAGGAGGAACACCGGUGGCGAAGGCGACUCUGUGGCCUGUAACUGACGCUGAGGCGCGAAAGCGUGGGGAGCAAACAGG
rnacentral:rRNA from 1 species